CCUACGGGGGGCAGCAGUGAGGAAUAUUGGUCAAUGGACGAGAGUCUGAACCAGCCAAGUAGCGUGAAGGAUGACUGCCCUAUGGGUUGUAAACUUCUUUUAUAUGGGAAUAAAAUGUUCCACGUGUGGGAUUUUGUAUGUACCAUAUGAAUAAGGAUCGGCUAACUCCGUGCCAGCAGCAGCGGUAAUACGGAGGAUCCGAGCGUUAUCCGGAUUUAUUGGGUUUAAAGGGAGCGUAGGUGGAUUGUUAAGUCAGUUGUGAAAGUUUGCGGCUCAAACGUAAAAUUGCAGUUGAAACUGGCAGUCUUGAGUACAGUAGAGGUGGGCGGAAUGCGUGGUGUAGCGGUGAAAUGCUUAGAUAUCACGAAGAACUCCGAUUGCGAAGGCAGUUCACUGGACUGCAACUGACACUGAGGCUCGAAAGUGUGGGUAUCAAACAGGAUUAGAUACCCGAGUAGUC
rnacentral:rRNA from 1 species